rnacentral:tRNA from 1 species
GGGGAUUUAGCUCAGCGGCAUAAGCGCCUGCCUUGCAAGCAGGCAGUCCUGAGUUCGAUCCUCGGUACCG